UACGAAGGGGGCUAGCGUUGCUCGGAAUGACUGGGCGUAAAGGGCGCGUAGGCGGCGGACACAGUCAGAUGUGAAAUUCCCGGGCUCAACCUGGGGGCUGCAUUUGAUACGUGUUUGCUUGAGUGGGGAAGAGGGUCGUGGAAUUCCCAGUGUAGAGGUGAAAUUCGUAGAUAUUGGGAAGAACACCGGUGGCGAAGGCGGCGACCUGGUCCGAUACUGACGCUGAGGUGCGAAAGCGUGGGGAGCAAACAGG
rnacentral:rRNA from 1 species